UAGCUCAGCUGGGAGAGCAUCUGCCUUACAAGCAGAGGGUCGGCGGUUCGAUCCCGUCAGCGUCCA
rnacentral:tRNA from 1 species